rnacentral:rRNA from 1 species
GGAUACGGCCAUACUGCACAGAAAGCACCGCUUCCCAUCCGAACAGCGAAGUUAAGCUGCGCCAGGCGGUGUUAGUACUGGGGUGGGCGACCACCCGGGAAUCCACCGUGCCGUAUCCU